rnacentral:rRNA from 1 species
AUUGAACGCUGGCGGCAUGCCUUACACAUGCAAGUCGAACGGCAGCACGGGUGCUUGCCCCUGGUGGCGAGUGGCGAACGGGUGAGUAAUACAUCGGAACAUGUCCUGUAGUGGGGGAUAGCCCGGCGAAAGCCGGAGUAAUACCGCAUACGAUCUACGGAUGAAAGCGGGGGACCUUCGGGCCUCGCGCUAUAGGGUUGGCCGAUGGCUGAUUGGCUAGUUGGUGGGGUAAAGGCCUACCAAGGCGACGAUCAGUAGCUGGUCUGAGAGGACGACCAGCCACACUGAGACUGAGACACGGCCCAGACUCCUACGGGAGGCAGCAGUGGGGAAUUUUGGACAAUGGGCGAAAGCCUGAUCCAGCAAUGCCGCGUGUGUGAAGAAGGCCUUCGGGUUGUAAAGCACUUUUGUCCGGAAAGAAAUCCUUGGCCCUAAUACGGUCGGGGGAUGACGGUACCGGAAGAAUAAGCACCGGCGAACUACGU